rnacentral:rRNA from 1 species
GUAGGGAAUAUUGGGCAAUGGAAGCAAUUCUGACCCAGCCAUGCCGCGUGAAGGAAUACGGCCCUAUGGGUCUUAAACUUCUUUUAUCAUAGAGUAAUCGUGGGGACGUGUCCCUGCCUGCAAGUAUAUGAUGAAUAAGUAUCGGCUAACUCCGUGCCAGCAGCCGCGGUAAUACGGAGGAUACAAGCGUUAUCCGGAUUUAUUGGGUUUAAAGGGUGCGCAGGCGGACUAAUAAGUCAGAGGUGAAAUUUUGCAGCUUAACUGUAAACGUGCCUUUGAUACUGUUAGACUAGAGUUUAAGGGACGUAACCGGAAUGUGAUGUGUAGCGGUGAAAUGCAUAGAUAUGUCACAGAACGCCGAUCGUGAAGACAGGUUACGAACUUAAUACUGACGCUCAGGCACGAAAGCGUGGGGAUCAAACAGGAUUAGAAACCCGUGUAGUCC